GCUGUGUUGCCCCUCUCCAGGCCACCCUCCUCACAAUGGGGGCUGCUGGUACUUCAUUCAUCUUCCUGGGAGGUUAGAUGUCCCUAUGGAACAUGUCCAUGGAAUUUUGGGUGACUGGCUGAACAAUCAACUCCAUCUGUUCUGUAUGUUUCUUCUGGCAGUGAGACAUCAACUUCCAAUCCUUCGCUGUCAGGACCUAGGGCAUGGAGAACCCCAAGACUCUCCCACUUUGUGGUUUAUGGACUUAACAAUCUGACAAAGUGUGGCAAUGGAGCAGAUAAAACAAUGUCAGGUAACUAGAAUUGAAUAUGUAGCUGCUAAAUGUAAGGGUGCUAAUUCAUAUGUGGGUAAAAUGGGAGACAGAAGUCCAAGUCAACGAGCAUCUGUUCAAAUACUUUGACCUCUGACCCACCUGUCUGGACUCAUUUGGCUCUCACUUCUUCUAACUGAAGGGAAUCAUCGCCCUGAGGCACCCUCCAGCUUGACAAACAUUAUUCUAAAUAAUUUGAGAAAGACCAUAAAUGCUUCCAUAGCAA